GGGGAAUAUUGCACAAUGGGCGCAAGCCUGAUGCAGCGACGCCGCGUGAGCGAAGAAGGUUUUCGGAUCGUAAAGCUCUGUCCUUUGGGAAGAAGAAAAUGACGGUACUCGAGGAGGAAGCCACGGCUAACUACGUGCCAGCAGCCGCGGUAAUACGUAGGUGGCAAGGGUUGUCCGGAAUUACUGGGUGUAAAGGGAGCGCAGGCGGAACUGCAAGUUGGGUGUUUAAUCUACGGGCUCAACCCGUAUCAGCAUUCAAAACUGUGGUUCUUGAGUAAUGCAGAGGUAGGCGGAAUUCCCGGUGUAGCGGUGGAAUGCGUAGAUAUCGGGAGGAACACCAGUGGCGAAGGCGGCCUACUGGGCAUCAACUGACGCUGAGGCUCGAAAGCAUGGGUAGCAAACA
rnacentral:rRNA from 1 species